rnacentral:rRNA from 1 species
AGUGAACGCUGGCGGUAGGCCUAACACAUGCAAGUCGAACGGCAGCACAGUAAGAGCUUGCUCUUACGGGUGGCGAGUGGCGGACGGGUGAGGAAUACAUCGGAAUCUACUUUUUCGUGGGGGAUAACGUAGGGAAACUUACGCUAAUACCGCAUACGACCUACGGGUGAAAGCAGGGGAUCUUCGGACCUUGCGCGAUUGAAUGAGCCGAUGUCGGAUUAGCUAGUUGGCGGGGUAAAGGCCCACCAAGGCGACGAUCCGUAGCUGGUCUGAGUGGAUGAUCAGCCACACUGGAACUGGGACACGGUCCAGACUCCUACGGGAGGCAGCAGUGGGGAAUAUUAGACAAUAGGCGCAAGCCUGAUCCAGCCAUACCGCGUGGGUGAAGAAGGCCUUCGGGUUGUAAAGCCCUUUUGUUGGGAAAGAAAAGCAGCAGGUUAAUACCCCGCUGUUCUGACGGUACCCAAAGAAUAAGCACCGGCUAACUUCGUG